AGAGUUUGAUCCUGGCUCAGGAUGAACGGCUGGCGGCGUGCCUAACACAUGCAAGUCGAACGAAGCACUUUGGUUGAGAUCGUCAAGAACCGGAUUGACUUAGUGGCGGACGGGUGAGUAAUGUAUGAGCAACCUGCCUUUCAGAGGGGGACAACAGUUGGAAACGACUGCUAAUACCGCAUAAUGUACAUUGAAGGCAUCUUUGAUGUACCAAAGGAGCAAUCCGCUGAAAGAUGGGCUCAUAUCUGAUUAGUUAGUUGGCAGGGUAACGGCCUACCAAGACUGCGAUCAGUAGCCGGACUGAGAGGUUGAACGGCCACAUUGGGACUGAGAUACGGCCCAGACUCCUACGGGAGGCAGCAGUGGGGAAUAUUGGGCAAUGGGCGAAAGCCUCGACCCAGCAACGCCGCGUGAAGGAAGAAGGUCUUCGGAUUGUAAACUUCUUUUAUGAGGGACGAAGGACGUGACGGUACCUCAUGAAUAAGCCACGGCUAACUACGUGCCAGCCGCCGC
rnacentral:rRNA from 1 species